UACAGAGGUCCCAAGCGUUGUUCGGAUUCACUGGGCGUAAAGGGUGCGUAGGCGGCGCGGUAAGUCGGGUGUGAAAUCUCGGAGCUUAACUCCGAAACUGCAUUCGAUACUGCCGUGCUUGAGGACUGGAGAGGAGACUGGAAUUUACGGUGUAGCGGUGAAAUGCGUAGAUAUCGUAAGGAAGACCAGUGGCGAAGGCGAGUCUCUGGACAGUUCCUGACGCUGAGACACGAAGGUCAGGGGAGCAAACGGG
rnacentral:rRNA from 1 species